rnacentral:lncRNA from 10 species
GAUAUUCACCAGAUCUAUAUUUUGCUAUUUUAUGGAUAUUAUUUUCAAUUUCUGAGUUUUGUCUUUUCCAGAAUGCCGUACAGUUGAAAUCAUACGGUAUAUAGACUUUGCAGGUUUUUAUGCGGACAUGUUUUUUGACUCCUUUGGGCAAAUACCAAGGAGCAAGAUUGCUGGAUCAUAUGGAAAGAGGCAUUACCAUAUCAAAGCCUUUAGCCUUCUUGCAUCACGACAAAAAUUCGAACUUGGUGUUUGAAGAACAUGAAAAAUGAGGAGGAAUAAAAUAAUCAUGAGUCUCCUGGUCAUUAACUGCAUGAAGUUGAGCUGGUCACUUAAGCCAUUCCUAAUAUGUAACUUGAGAGUAUAGUAUUAGAUAUUCAGUAAAUUCCCUUCAAAAUUCAUA